AUUGAACGCUGGCGGCAGGCCUAACACAUGCAAGUCGAGCGGAUGAAGGGAGCUUGCUCCUGGAUUCAGCGGCGGACGGGUGAGUAAUGCCUAGGAAUCUGCCUGGUAGUGGGGGAACGUCCGGAAACGGGCGCUAAUACCGCAUACGUCCUGAGGGAGAAAGUGGGGGAUCUUCGGACCUCACGCUAUCAGAUGAGCCUAGGUCGGAUUAGCUAGUUGGUGGGGUAAAGGCCUACCAAGGCGACGAUCCGUAACUGGUCUGAGAGGAUGAUCAGUCACACUGGAACUGAGACACGGUCCAGACUCCUACGGGAGGCAGCAGUGGGGAAUAUUGGACAAUGGGCGAAAGCCUGAUCCAGCCAUGCCGCGUGUGUGAAGAAGGUCUUCGGAUUGUAAAGCACUUUAAGUUGGGAGGAAGGGCAGUAAGUUAAUACCUUGCUGUUUUGACGUUACCAACAGAAUAAGCACCGGCUAACUUCGUG
rnacentral:rRNA from 1 species